AGUGAACGCUGGCGGUAGGCCUAACACAUGCAAGUCGAACGGCAGCACAGGAGAGCUUGCUCUCUGGGUGGCGAGUGGCGGACAGGUGAGGAAUACAUCGGAAUCUACUCUGUCGUGGGGGAUAACGUAGGGAAACUUACGCUAAUACCGCAUACGACCUACGGGUGAAAGCAGGGGAUCUUCGGACCUUGCGCGAUUGAAUGAGCCGAUGUCGGAUUAGCUAGUUGGCGGGGUAAAGGCCCACCAAGGCGACGAUCCGUAGCUGGUCUGAGAGGACGAUCAGCCACACUGGAACUGAGACACGGUCCAGACUCCUACGGGAGGCAGCAGUGGGGAAUAUUGGACAAUGGGCGCAAGCCUGAUCCAGCCAUACCGCGUGGGUGAAGAAGGCCUUCGGGUUGUAAAGCCCUUUUGUUGGGAAAGAAAUCCAGCUGGCUAAUACCCGGUUGGGAUGACGGUACCCAAAGAAUAAGCACCGGCUAACUUCGUGCCAGCAGCCGCCGUAA
rnacentral:rRNA from 1 species